rnacentral:sRNA from 1 species
UAGUAUAUAUAACAGAUGUGCCGAGGC